ACCUCCAGCAUCUCUAGUAUUGGAGGCACUGCCUGCCCAGUGACAAACGUUAAACGGCCGCGGUAUCCUGACCGUGCAAAGGUAGCAUAAUCAUUUGUUCUCUAAAUAAGGACUUGUAUGAAUGGCCACACGAGGGUUUUACUGUCUCUUACUUCCAAUCAGUGAAAUUGACCUUCCCGUGAAGAGGCGGGAAUAAGCAAAUAAGACGAGAAGACCCUAUGGAGCUUUAACUAAUUAGCCCAAAGAAAAUAAAUCUAACCACCAAGGGACAACAACACCCUCCAUGGGCUAACAGCUUUGGUUGGGGUGACCUCGGAGAAUAAAAGAUCCUCCGAGCGAUUUUAAAGACUAGACACACAAGUCAAAUCAAACUAUCGCUUAUUGAUCCAAAAACUUGAUCAACGGAACAAGUUACCCUAGGGAUAACAGCGCAAUCCUAUUCAAGAGUCCAUAUCGACAAUAGGGUUUACGACCUCGAUGUUGGAUCAGGACACCCCGAUGGUGCAACCGCUAUCAAA
rnacentral:rRNA from 1 species